UCCCUAAUGCUUUUAAGCACUGGAUUGUGCUGUGUUUAGUCUUUCCAUUGGCCCCUCAGUUAAAUCAAGACCUAAGUGUGUGCUUGAUUAUUUCUAAAUUAGUUUGUUUAUAUGGUGGAUUCUGUUGAUGGAUCUUUAUAAACCACACUUGCAUCCCUGGGAUGAAGCCUACUUGAUCAUGACUUGGUGUGUGAAUCCCAACAGGGACAAGGAGAAAGAGUGACAGCUGAUGUCAGCUCCUGCCUCCAGGUUCCUGCCCUGUAUGAGUUCCUGUCCUGACUUCCUUUGGUGAUGAACAGCAAUGUGGAAGUGAUGUAACAACAUCAUUAAGAAGAGAACCGGAAGACAAAGACACAGCUAUUAGAAUGGAACACGUGCAGGGACCGCUGGCCUUGGUGUUGAUGAAUUGGCGGAGCAGAGAGAGCUCUCCUACAUCUUGGUUAGGAACAUGAAAUGAGACAAUCAAUUUGGAUAAAGGUCUGGCUGUUUUUGUAAAACUAAGACAGAUGUAUAAUCUGUCACUCGACACAGUGAUUUUGCUUCUAGGUCCUGACACAAGGGGACAAAAAGACAUAUAGUCGAUGUUGAUUGCAGAUUUAUCCAAAAUAACUCUGAACUGGAAACAAGCCUUGUGAUUAUCAACAAGAUAAACAAAGUACAGUGUGUUCAGCCAGUGGGAUACUGCAGCACCAGAAAGGAUAAACUACUGAUUCAUGCACGCAUGGAACAAAUUCAGAUUAUUUUAUGCCUUACAAUAAAAUUUCAAUAUAACUCCA
rnacentral:lncRNA from 1 species